AACUGCCCCCUUGCAGUUAGCUCUCCCGACGCUGCGGUUCUUUCAAAUAUUUUUGUUUGGUUGCUGGAGGACUAUUUGAAUGAAUAUGCUUAUUAUGCUCAAAGUGCUGGUCUUGACUAUGGAUUGAGAAUUUCGGACAAUGGUUUUGAGUUGUCUCUUGUUGGCUUUAAUCACAAAUUGAGGAUCUUGCUGUAAGCAGUCAUUCAAAAGAUAGCAAGAUUCGAAGUUAAAUCUGACAGGUUUUCUGUUAUCAAGGAAACAGUCACAAAGGCAUACCAAAAUUACAAAUUUCAACAACCAUAUGAACAAGCAACGUAUUACUGCUCACUAGUAUUAGAAGACAAGAGUUGGCCUUGGACAGAGGAGCUUGAUGCUGUUUCUCAUUUGGAAGCUGAAGACUUGGCUAAGUUCGUUCCAGUGCUGCUGUCAAGGACAUUUGUUGAAUGCUAUAU